AGACUCAACAAGGAAUUUUCAGCUUCCCUGCAGCCUAUAUUAUAAAGACGUGCAUUCUGCUGAGUAUUGUAUUUUUCAUGGUGCAGCUCCUCCAGACAGCAUUAAAGAAAAACGGGGGCUGCCCGACACCUUGGAAGUGGGGUUUUUGCUCAUGGUGGCAGAGGAUCUCCUGUGACUUUAAAGAAGACGUUUGCAUAUGCAGAUGUGGAGCAUAGUUGAGACUGCCAGCAGUAAGAAGCAUCUUUGUGCUUUUGGCCUUGUUAUUGUUGACGCAUGGAAUGCAAGACUACAUGCAUUACUUAAA